AGGAGUGCGCGACAGGGGCCGGUGGCUCCCGCGCUAUUGCAGGUGAGUCGGCGAGGCGUGCGUCGACCCUGGACGGUCUUCCGGAAGGGAGGAAACCCGGAGCCGGAGUAGGUGGAGACGGAGGAAGAGUGCUCCGCAUGCUGCCAUGUCCCCAUCAUGGCUGAAGGCAGAGGCAGCAGCACAGAGGAGCCUGGAGACAGGAAGACUGAAGGUCCCCUGGAGUCCCUCUGGAUCCUGCACAGAAAGAGGACACUAGGAGCUAACGAAAUUCUUUGUGCACAGCCUGAGGAGUUGGCUUUCUGAGCCUUGGAGCUGCUGGUGUGGGACUCUGGUGUUUUUCCUGCCUUCCUGGGCUCCAAGACAUCCUAAGGAGAAAACCCCAUGCUCAGACACUUAGGCAGGACAGUUCCAGGACACUGGGAUUAAGCGGUGGUACCCGGCAGUUUCCUCAGACAGGUCGGGGCACUGCAUCCACUGCUGCUGUUAACCCGGGAGGUCCAGCGCCUGGCUCCUGGGGGUCCAGCUUGGCUGCCUUUUCCUAGGCCCCCCUCAGGCCUUGGCUCUUACAAUAGACUGCCACUUCUGGGA
rnacentral:lncRNA from 1 species